rnacentral:piRNA from 1 species
UCCAAAGACGUUGACAAGUUUCACCUUGGGU